UUCUCCCUGACUCCUUGAGAGUCCUGAAGGAACGUUGAAGACGACGACGUUGAUAGGCCGGGUGUGUAAGCGCAGCGAUGCGUUGAGCUAACCGGUACUAAUGAACCGUGAGGCUUAACCUUACAACGCCGAAG
rnacentral:rRNA from 1 species